UGCAAAGAAUUAUAGUGAUAUCAGUUUUACAUGGUGUUUAGUUGCACUUCAAGAGGCAGUAAUUCUGUGGUUGUUGUCUUCAGUGAUUGGGUGCUUUAACGGAAAAGGGUUGUACUUUACUUGCAGAAGCAGGGAGCAUGAUUUAUAGCCGUUAGUUAAAAUAAAGCCCUGAUACAAACAGAGGGGUUUCUAUUUUACUUUAAAUAUGAACAUGAAUUGGCUUAUAGAGUAGAAUGGGAUUUUCUUUGUGGAUGCUUGUAUUACCUAUAUAUCUGUCUGGAGUAAUUCUCUUCUUUCCCAUGUCCUCCAUAUGCUUGUGAUGUGACACCACACCUGAGGAGAUGAUGUGCAUUAUAACUGCUGUAAGCAGAAAGUAGAGAGCUGGCCUCAGGUUCUCUGUUUUGUACAAUAUCCACCUAACAUGGAAACACAAGGGAUGAUAUCAGCUCAAACAGCAAUGCUUUUUUAACCAGACCUGUAGUACCAUCCUUGGUUGUGGCUUCAACAACCGGCAGAGUGCGGACAGCAGAAAUGAGAGUUGACUCCCACAAAGAAGGCACUGUUUCCGGCAGAUGUUCCAGAUACAAGGCCUAAAGAUCCUACCACAAGAAAAAAAAAAAGUUGCGUAAAAUAUAUGUACAUUUUUUUUCUGACAAGACAAGGUCUGCAUGACUUCGAGAAAUGUCUCUUGUGUCCAUUAAGAAACUCUUACUUUUUUUAAUAACAUGAAUUAAUUUGUUUACCAUUUUUCAUGAAAUGGUUAGCCUUAAAAAUCUAUAAACAUCUAAAGGAGUAAUUUUUCUAAUUUGAUAAGACAAAUCUUUUUUUGGAUAUGCACUCUAAAUAUGACAAAUACAAAAUCAUAUUUACAGUUUGCCACUGGGAAACAGGCCAGCAUUUUAAGGUCUACUUUUAUAUUUUCCACAACUGUAACAUAAUGCCCAUCCAUGUACAAUGGAAGAACCAUUUAACAAAUGCAUUGCCUAUGAUUGGGCCUAUUUAAUAAAGAUGUAAAACAAAAUGCUACCUUUGAAACUGUUAAUAGACUUUCUUUGUAAAAUAACCUGGAUUUGUGAAACCAGGAAGACUCCAAACGUACUUUAAUGCAUAGGCGUACAUUUAUAGUAAAAGCCAGCAUUGACCUCC